rnacentral:rRNA from 1 species
UGGGGAAUAUUGCACAAUGGAGGAAACUCUGAUGCAGCGACGCCGCGUGAGUGAAGAAGUAAUUCGUUAUGUAAAGCUCUAUCAGCAGGGAAGAUAGUGACGGUACCUGACUAAGAAGCUCCGGCUAAAUACGUGCCAGCAGCCGCGGUAAUACGUAUGGAGCAAGCGUUAUCCGGAUUUACUGGGUGUAAAGGGAGUGUAGGUGGCAUCACAAGUCAGAAGUGAAAGCCCGGGGCUCAACCCCGGGACUGCUUUUGAAACUGUGGAGCUGGAGUGCAGGAGAGGCAAGUGGAAUUCCUAGUGUAGCGAUGAAAUGCGUAGAUAUUAGGAGGAACACCAGUGGCGAAGGCGGCUUGCUGGACUGUAACUGACACUGAGGCUCGAAAGUGUGGGGAGCAAACAGGAUUAGAUACCCUGGUAGUCCACACCGUAAACGAUGAGCACUAGGUGUCGGGGUCGCAAGACUUCGGUGCCGCAGUUAACGCAUUAAGUGCUCCGCCUGGGGAGUACGUACGCAAGUAUGAAACUCAAAGGAAUUGACGGGGACCCGCACAAGCAGCGGAGCAUGUGGUUUAAUUCGAAGCAACGCGAAGAACCUUACCUGGGCUUGACAUCCCGAUGACCGGCCCGUAACGGGGCCUUCUCUUCGGAGCAUUGGAGACAGGUGGUGCAUGGUUGUCGUCAGCUCGUGUCGUGAGAUGUUGGGUUAAGUCCCGCAACGAGCGCAACCCUUAUCCUCAGUAGCCAGCAGGUAAAGCUGGGCACUCUGUGGAGACUGCCAGGGAUAACCUGGAGGAAGGUGGGGAUGACGUCAAAUCAUCAUGCCCCUUAUGAUCUGGGCUACACACGUGCUACAAUGGCGUAAACAAAGGGAGGCAAAGCCGCGAGGUGGAGCAAAUCCCAAAAAUAACGUCUCAGUUCGGAUUGUAGGCUGCAACCCGCCUACAUGAAGUCGGAAUUGCUAGUAAUCGCAGAUCAGCAUGCUGCGGAGAAUACGUUCCC